UCCCAGAUCUUGUGCGUGCUCUCGGAUGA
rnacentral:piRNA from 2 species